rnacentral:rRNA from 1 species
CCUACGGGCGUCAGCAGUGGGGAAUAUUUCACAAUGGGGGAAACCCUGCUGCAGCGACGCCGCGUGAGUGAAGAAGUAAUUCGUUAUGUAAAGCUCUAUCAGCAGGGAAGAAAAUGACGGUACCUGAGUAAGAAGCCCCGGCUAACUACGUGCCAGCAGCCGCGGUAAUACGUAGGGGGCAAGCGUUAUCCGGCUUUACUGGGUGGAAAGGGAGCGUAGACGGCAGUGCAAGUCUGGAGUGAAAGGCGGGGGCUCAACCCCCGGACUGCUCUGGAAACUGUACGGCUGGAGUGCAGGAGAGGUAAGUGGAAUUCCUAGUGUAGCGGUGAAAUGCGUAGAUAUUAGGAGGAACACCAGUGGCGAAGGCGGCUUACUGGACUGUAACUGACGUUGAGGCUCGAAAGCGUGGGGAGCAAACAGGAUUAGAUACCCUGGUAGUC